AGAGUUUGAUCAUGGCUCAGGAAGUCGUAACAAGGUAACCGUACAUGGCUCAGGACGAACGCUGGCGGCAUGCCUAAUACAUGCAAGUCGAGCGGAUUUCAAGGAGCUUGCUCCUUGAUUUCAGCGGCGGACGGGUGAGUAACACGUGGGCAACCUGCCUAUAAGACUGGGAUAACUUCGGGAAACCGGAGCUAAUACCGGAUAAUCCUUUUCCUCUCAUGAGGGAAAGCUGAAAGACGGCGUAAGCUGUCACUUAUAGAUGGGCCCGCGGCGCAUUAGCUAGUUGGUGAGGUAACGGCUCACCAAGGCGACGAUGCGUAGCCGACCUGAGAGGGUGAUCGGCCACACUGGGACUGAGACACGGCCCAGACUCCUACGGGAGGCAGCAGUAGGGAAUCUUCCGCAAUGGACGAAAGUCUGACGGAGCAACGCCGCGUGAGCGAAGAAGGCCUUCGGGUCGUAAAGCUCUGUUGUUAGGGAAGAACAAGUGUCGGAGUAACUGCCGGCACCUUGACGGUACCUAACCAGAAAGCCACGGCUAACUACGUGCCAGCAGCCGCGGUAAUACGUAGGUGGCAAGCGUUGUCCGGAAUUAUUGGGCGUAAAGCGCGCGCAGGCGGUCUUUUAAGUCUGAUGUGAAAGCCCCCGGCUCAACCGGGGAGGGUCAUUGGAAACUGGAGGACUUGAGUGCAGAAGAGAAGAGCGGAAUUCCACGUGUAGCGGUGAAAUGCGUAGAGAUGUGGAGGAACACCAGUGGCGAGGGCGGCUCUUUGGUCUGUAACUGACGCUGAGGCGCGAAA
rnacentral:rRNA from 1 species